rnacentral:rRNA from 1 species
UACGUAGGGCGCAAGCGUUAUCCGGAAUUAUUGGGCGUAAAGAGCUCGUAGGCGGUUUGCCGCGUCUGCCGUGAAAGUCCGGGGCUCAACUCCGGAUCUGCGGUGGGUACGGGCAGACUAGAGUGAUGUAGGGGAGACUGGAAUUCCUGGUGUAGCGGUGAAAUGCGCAGAUAUCAGGAGGAACACCGAUGGCGAAGGCAGGUCUCUGGGCAUUAACUGACGCUGAGGAGCGAAAGCAUGGGGAGCGAACAGG